AUGCAGCGAAUAGCCCACGAUCUGAAGAUUUGGUCCAAGUCCUUAUUCAGAGAUGCCAAGAUUCAGUUUCACCUGGCAGCAGAGAUUAUUCUUAGGCUUGACAUCGCCCAAGAAAAGCGCCGACUGACCGCGACAGAAUUCAACCUACGCAAGCAGCUCAAGCAGCGGAUCGUGGGCUUGGCCGCGAUCGAGCGCGCGCGCAAGAGGCAAGCUGCUAGAAUCACCUGGCUCCGGGCCGGAGACGCCAAAACUGCAUUCUUUCAGGCCAAGAUCAAUGCAAGACAGAGGAAUAAUUUCAUCCACUCUUUGCAAACAGAUUCACGCACGACAACCUCACAUGAAGAUAAAGCAUCCAUCGCCCAUGAUCACUUCGUUAACCUGUUGGGCACCAAGCGGGACCGUGGCUGCGCCAUAAACUGGGACGCGAUCAACCUGCCUUCCGUCAGCAAUGCAGGCCUGGAUAAGCCGUUCACUGAACCGGAGGUAUGGGCUGUUGCAUCGCUUCGCCUCUUGAUAAGGCACCAGGCCCUGACGGGUUCUCGGGCAACUUCUUCCGCACCUGCUGGAGCACCAUUAAGCACGAUAUCAUGGCAGUGUUCGAUCACUUCUACAGCCUGGCGGGGGGCAACUUCUCAGCUUUGA
rnacentral:rRNA from 1 species